rnacentral:rRNA from 1 species
AUUGAACGCUGGCGGCGGGCCUAACACAUGCAAGUCGAGCGGAUGAAGGGAGCUUUCUCCUGUAUUCAGCGGCGGACGGGUGAGUGAUGCCUAGGAAUCUGCCUGAUAGUUGGGGAUAACGUCCGGACACGGGCGCUAAUACCGCAUACGUCCUGAUGGAGAAAGUGGGGGAUCUUCGGACCUCACGCUAUCAGAUGAGCCUAGGACGGAUUAGCUAGUUGGUGGGGUAAAGGCCUACCAAGGCGACGAUCCGUAACUGGUCUGAGAGGAUGAUCAGUCACACUGGAACUGAGACACGGUCCAGACUCCUACGGGAGGCAGCAGUGGGGAAUCUUGGACAAUGGGCGAAAGCCUGAUGCAGCAAUGCCGCGUGUGUGAAGAAGGUCUUCGGAUUGUAAAGCACUUUAAGUUGGGAGGAAGGGCAGUAAGUUAAUACAUUGCUGUCUUGACGGUACCAACAGAAUAAGCACCGGCUAACUUCGUG